AGCAGCAGCCGCGGUAAUACGAAGGGGGCUAGCGUUGUUCGGAAUUACUGGGCGUAAAGCGCACGUAGGUGGAUCGAUCAGUCAGGGGUGAAAUCCCAGGGCUCAACCCUGGAACUGCCUUUGAUACUGUCGAUCUGGAGUAUGGAAGAGGUGAGUGGAAUUCCGAGUGUAGAGGUGAAAUUCGUAGAUAUUCGGAGGAACACCAGUGGCGAAGGCGGCUCACUGGUCCAUUACUGACGCUGAGGUGCGAAAGCGUGGGGAGCAAACAGGAUUAGAUACCCCCGUAGUCCCUGUCUCUUAUCA
rnacentral:rRNA from 1 species